rnacentral:rRNA from 1 species
UAGUAGAGUGGCAAACGGGUGAGUAACGCGUGGGCGACCUACCUUCGAGUGGGGGAUAACCUUCCGAAAGGAGGGCUAAUACCGCAUGACAUCCCGUGUUUGGAUACACGGACAUCAAAGUCGGGGAUCGCAAGACCUGACGCUUGGAGAGGGGCCCGCGUCCGAUUAGCUAGCUGGUGGGGUAACGGCUCACCAAGGCUCCGAUCGGUAUCCGGCCUGAGAGGGCGGACGGACACACUGGGACUGAGACACGGCCCAGACUCCUACGGGAGGCAGCAGUAGGGAAUUGUUCGCAAUGGGCGCAAGCCUGACGACGCAACGCCGCGUGGAGGAUGAAGACCUUCGGGUCGUAAACUCCUUUCGACCGAGAUGAAUACUUGCCGACCUAAUACGUCGGCAAGCUGACAGUAUCGAGGGAAGAAGCCCCGGCUAACUCCGUGCCAGCAGCCGCGGUAAUACGGGGGGGGCAAGCGUUGUUCGGAAUUACUGGGCGUAAAGGGUUCGUAGGUGGCCAACUAAGUCAGACGUGAAAUCCCUCAGCUCAACUGGGGAACUGCGUCUGAUACUGGUUGGCUUGAGUGCAGGAGAGGAACGCGGAAUUCCAGGUGUAGCGGUGAAAUGCGUAGAUAUCUGGAGGAACACCGGUGACGAAGGCGGCGUUCUAGACUGCAACUGACACUGAGGAACGAAAGCCAGGA